UAUGGCCUACGGGGGGCAGCAGUGGGGAAUAUUGCACAAUGGGGGAAACCCUGAUGCAGCGACGCCGCGUGAGCGAUGAAGUAUUUCGGUAUGUAAAGCUCUAUCAGCAGGGAAGAAAAUGACGGUACCUGACUAAGAAGCCCCGGCUAACUACGUGCCAGCAGCCGCGGUAAUACGUAGGGGGCAAGCGUUAUCCGGAUUUACUGGGUGUAAAGGGAGCGUAGACGGUCCUGCAAGCCAAAUGUGAAAGCCCGGGGCUCAACGUGGGAACUGCCUUUGAAACUGGCAAACUGGAGUGUGUGAGG
rnacentral:rRNA from 1 species